UGUGGCCAGACAAGUUUACACAGUAAAAAAUGCUGGGUUAUUUUCAUAACCCAACUUCUGGGUAAGAGAUGCUGGGUCAUAUGUUGGGUUACUUUGACCCAAUAUUGGUUCAAAAGUAGUGACCCAGCGGUUGGGUUGACUUUUUUUUUUUGUUUUAAUGAACUCCACUUAACUGAUUCUGUUAGGUUUCAGGUUCAGUUGACUCAACACUUUACCCAAUUGGUUGGGUCAAAUACAGUUUGACCCAACCAAUUGGGUAAAAAUCCAUUGCCCUCUUCACAAACCUCCAUUUUCAACUGGACUGUGACCUGAUCAGACAACACUGGAUUUCUCAAUUCAAAUAAAACAUGAUCUGAAAGAUGGAUGAGUUUGUAAAACAGAAGCUGACUGAAUGGAAACUUUCUGACCUAAUCCCUGCUUUUGAAGCUGAAAACAUUGAUGAAGAAAGCUUCUUUCUUUUGGAUGCUAACUGCCUGACAUCCCUGAUUCCUCACCUUGGUCCUCGUCUGAAAUUUCAACGUCAUUUUGCAAAAUUUCUUGAGGUAUGCUUUGAGUCAUAGGACAAGACAAAAUGGGAUAUGUGUGUUUUAAAUGUGGGAUGUCUUUAGGACAUAACAUAAGGAAUUUUUUUUCUCACCUAAGAGUAAUUCAUAACACAUAUUCAACUUCAAGAUAUGUCCAGUGUGCUCAAAGUGAGCACACUGGACAUCUAGCCCUAAAACAACUGAAGAUGCUGAUCCUACACCACAUGCUGAAUUAGAGAGUGGAGUUUCUUCUGUUGGAAGAGCAGCAUUUAACAUCCGUGAGAUCCUCAGUGCCUCCCCUGAAGGUAGACCUGUGGUUAUCAGUCUUGAUGGAAAUCAGCAUAUAUCCACACCUGAUGGAUCAAUAUGGAGAAAAGUGAGUAUUUCUUGUAAAAACUGGAUCAAUUAGGUUGUUUUUGUGACAUUUUGCUCUUGGUGAGAACAUUAACGGCAUUGUGCAGUGCUCACCUAAGUAAAAUUUCUCCAGUAAGAAGUCUUAAAGUAUAUGUUGGGCUAAUAAAAACUGGAUUUUUUGGAAAUUGUUUGUGUUUUAAGGUUUCUGCUCUAUGUUUUCAUCUUACAAUAACUAAUUAAAAUAAAAUAUUUUACUUGCCUGUCUUACUGAGUGUAAUUUUUUUUGUUUCCAGCCCAUCUUCAGAC